GAUGAACGCUGGCGGCGUGCCUAAUACAUGCAAGUCGAGCGAACAUACGAGGUUUUUGCUCCUCUGACGUUAGCGGCGGACGGGUGAGUCACACGUGGAUAACCUACCUAUAAGACUGGGAUAACUUCAGCAAAUCGUAGCUACUACCGGAUAAUUUAUUGAACCUCAUGGUUCAAUAGUUACAGUCGGUUUUUCUUUCGCUUAUAGCUUGCUCCGCACCGCAUUAGGUAGUUGUUAAGGUAAAGGCUUACCAAGGCAACGAUGCGUAGCCGACCUGACAGGGUGAUUGGACAGCCUGGAAGUGAGAAAGGGCACAGACGCAGAGGGGAGGCAGCAGUAGGGAAUCGUCCGGGAGGGGCGAGAGAUUGAGGGAGAAAAGCCGCGAGAGUGAUGAAGGUAUUCGGAGCGUAAAAUGCUGUUAUUAGGGAAGAACAAAUGUGUAAGUAACUAUGAAAGUAAUGACGGUACCUAAACAGAAAGCCACGGCUAACUACGUG
rnacentral:rRNA from 1 species